AAAAAUAAAAGUCUGAAUAGACCAAAAGAGGGGGGAGGAAAUAAUAAAGAAAAAUUUAUACAAAGCUAGAUAUGAAUCAUCCACACCCUCUUUUUUGGAUUUCAUUAAUUGAAUUUUGUUUGAUUAAGACUAAGUUCUGUAAAAACACCCGCCUUCUUUAAAAUAUCAUGAACAAUUGUUGUGGGUUGAGCUCCUUUUUCAAGGAAAUAGAGAAUGGCGGGAACAUUUAAAUAGGUUUGAUUAUUUAUCGGAUCAUAAAAACCCACUUUUCGAAGAUCUCUUCCCUCUCUUCGGGAUCGAACAUCAAUUGCAACGAUUCGAUAAACGGCUCAUUGGGAUAGAUGUAGUUAAAUAAUACCCCUUAGAAACGUAUAAGAAGUUUUCUCCUCGUACGGCUCAAGAAAAAAAUGAUUAAUUAAAAGUUAUGUCUAUGUAUGUAAUUAGAAUGUAUGGAAUUAGAAUGUCAAAAAUAUCCAUAAACCAGCAAAUCAAUUAGACAUUUAACCCCGUCCUUUUUUUCAAAAAAAAAAAGAAGAAAAAAGCAUUCGUACUCUCAUAACUCAAGUUAAAUAACUCGCAAAAUGCUCAAAAAAUAAUCCUUAGGCAUUCCUUUAUUGAAUGGUCUCUAACCCUUUUUUUGUUUGUCUCGCUUAGAAUCUAUUUCGAUUCUUCAUUUUAAUCUAGUUGUUUAGAAAAUGGAAAAGGGUAUUUCCUUGUUCUAGGAUCUUUUAUCUUUGCCUUGAAUCAUUGGGUUUAGACAUUUCUUCGGCGAUAUUUAAUCAUUUCAAAAAUGGCAGCAACAUGCCCUUUUUUCUCUCUUUUUUUUUCUAUCAAAGAAUCAUAUGAACGAUUAAUUCCCGCAUCAUACACUUUUGAUCGAAAGAGUUUUACCAAUUCCAACAACUUUUCUUUUUGAUUUGAAAAUAGUUGGAAUCAGAUUCUUUCGAUUUCUAUAUCACAAAUAGACUUACGAAGUUGUUCCAACUUAUUGAUUUCCAUUAACUAACCCUAGAUCCUUGCCCCUAAAAAAUGGAUGUUUCUCUUCGAGCUCCAUCCUGUACUAUUUACAUUACAACCCAACAAAAAGACGGAUUAUAAUAGAACGAAGGAUGUCGAGCAAAAAGCACCUUCAUUUCUACAUAACGGAAAGUGGUGGGUUUUGACAUCCACAGCUGAUCAUGUCCUUCAAGUCUCACGUUGCUUUCUACCACAUCGUUUCAAACGAAGUUUUACCAUAACAUUCCUCUAGUUUAGAGCAUUGAUUCAAUUAU
rnacentral:lncRNA from 1 species